GAUGAACGCUGGCGGCGUGCUUAAUACAUGCAAGUCGAACGGAAAGGCGCUGCGCUUGCGGGGUGGUCGUGUGGCGAACGGGUGAGUAACACGCGAGUAACCUGCCCCUGUCUGUGGGAUAACUCCAGGGAAAUGGGGCGCAUAUCGGGUAGGAGCUUCUGAUGCGUGGUGGGCGUUGGUAAGUGUCGGUGGUGGGGGCUGGACUCGCAGCUUAUCAGCUUGAUGGUGGGGUAGUGGCUUACCAAGGCUUUGACGGGUAGCCGGCCUGAGAGGGUGACCGGCCACAUUGGGACUGAGAUACGGCCCAGACUCCUACGGGAGGCAGCAGUGGGGAAUAUUGCACAAUGGGCGGAAGCCUGAUGCAGCAGCGCCGCGUGCGGGAUGACGGCUUUCGGGUUGUAAACCGCUUUCGCAUGUGACGAAGCGUGAGUGACGGUAAUGGGUCAAGAAGCACCGGCUAACUACGUG
rnacentral:rRNA from 1 species